GGAGAUGUGGCUCAGUGGUAGAGUGCUUGCUUGGUAUGCAUGAGGCUGUGUUCAAUCCCCAGUACCA
rnacentral:tRNA from 1 species